UCUUUCUUCCACUUACAACAGGUUUCUCCAGUCAACCUCUGGCUGUUAGUGACCUUCUGAUGCCAAGAAACACACCACAUUAAUUAAUAUGCCACAUUCAUGGAACAUUCAUGAGAUCCUAGUUAGAACACAGUUUCUGAGCUUAUGGACAGUAGCACUAGGUAUGUGUCUAGGCCUCUCAGUUCAGCAGGCAUGCAGCUGCACAGAGAUCUCCAGCUGGCAGUUAAAAUCCUUCUACUUAUAAAGAUUCCUGGUGAUGACUUUCAGCUUUGGGUCUUUAGUAUAAAAUCUGUAAAAGUGAAAGAAACCCAUUUGUAGAGCAAGAUACUUAAGCCAAACCAAAGAGAACAGGAGAGAUGAGAGAAAAGUGGAUUCUUGGUUGUGUGUGUACCUCUCAUUCUUUGCCUCAGACUUCCAUACAUGAGUCCAUGAGUGUACUUUUCUGCUUAAGUAACUUUGUGUCCUCCACAUCCUUCCAGUGUAAGUAGAAUUGAUAGAAGAAAUCAAAGUUCAGGAUCAGGAUCAAUGAGGAGCAAAUGAGCAUGCAACAUUCAUGGUGUAAGACAUCAAGAUAGCGAUUGGAAGUGGAGAGAUGGGGCCCCUUGGCAUUCUGAAGUGGAGAAAUGUCAAGGACAUUCCAAUUUGUCCACAGGAAACCUUGUGUCUGGCUAUAAAUGAAGAAGCACCCCUUCCCAUGCUGAAGGAGCUGCUACAGUGAGCCCAUUACCUGGGAAGCAUCGGUUCUUGGGCCCCCAUCUCCACAGCUCUACAACUCUACAACUGAUGCCUCAGUCUUGAGGGAGGAGAGUUAACAUCAUCCUUCUUCCUUCCUAAGAAAGGAAUCAAGAUAAUGCAAAGUCAUUCCCACAGAUCUUCUAAAUUCUCUCACAAACUUAGUUUCCAUGACUGCUACCUUCAGGCAUGUUUAUAUCGUUCAGCAGACCCAGACAAGUGUGGCCAACAGCACAACGCAGAUUCUGGAACAUGAGUGUCUUCUCCCGAUUGUGACAAAAGUGUUCACUGGCCUCUUGUCCUUGAGGAAGUUGCUGUACAUUUUCUUGACAGUCCUCACUUGCAAAUCACAGGUAAUAACACUUCCCAUGUCAUGGGUUUUUGUGAGGAGGGUGAUAGUUAAUAUUUUCAGUGGACUUUGCUUAGCAAAUGCCACACAGCAAGUUUAAGAAAUGAGGUACAGUAUUUGCCAUUCAUCACUAGCCUGGUACAGAGGAGAGACCCCCAACAUGCUACACUGUGAUUGUGCUGGGCUUACUGCUUUCUAGAGGUGCUGAAUUGCUCCCCUGCCAGUUCAUGCUGAA
rnacentral:lncRNA from 1 species